rnacentral:rRNA from 1 species
UUUUUCAUUGGAGAGUUUGAUCCUGGCUCAGGACGAACGCUGGCGGCGUGCUUAACACAUGCAAGUCGAACGGAAAGGCCCUGCUUUUGUGGGGUGCUCGAGUGGCGAACGGGUGAGUAACACGUGAGUAACCUGCCCUUGACUUUGGGAUAACUUCAGGAAACUGGGGCUAAUACCGGAUAGGAGCUCCUGCUGCAUGGUGGGGGUUGGAAAGUUUCGGCGGUUGGGGAUGGACUCGCGGCUUAUCAGCUUGUUGGUGGGGU